UUCACGUUUAUUACAACUUACAUCGUGGAUAACUGUGGUUUUCUAUAACUUUACUUUCACAACAACUUCCUGUGAAUUGUUUGAAGUGCUUUUAUUAAAUUUUAAACCGAUCGGCGUUUGACAAAUGUGGAUUCGAAACUGUUUGGUGAAUCUGAAUAACUAUUUCUGAUCGCAUGGUCUAGCACCGGCGACAUCACUUUCAAGUGUCUGCCUUAUCAACCUUCGAUGGUAGUCUAUGCGACUACCAUGGUGAUAACGGGUAACGGAAAAUCAUGGUUCGACUCCGGAGAGGGAGCCUGAGAAACGGCUACCACAUCCAAGGAAGGCAGCAGGCGCGCAAAUUACCCACUCCCAGCUUGGGGAGGUAGUGACGAAAAAUAACGAGACGAUUCUCGUUUGAGAAACGUUAUCGAAAUGAGUACGCUUUACACACGCUAACGAGUAGCAAUUGGAGGGCAAGUCUGGUGCCAGCAGCCGCGGUAAUUCCAGCUCCAAUAGCGUAUAUUAAAGUUGCUGCGGUUAAAACGCUCGUAGUUGAAUUGUGGUCUUAGACAACAGUCCCCCUACAAAGGUGUGGCACGGUUGCUCGAGAUCUUCAUUCGUGGUUGCUGUUGUUGCUCUUCAUUGAGUGUCAAUGGUGCCUCCAGAUUUUUACUUUGAAAAAAAUUAGAGUGCUCCAAGCAGGUUGUGAUGCCUGAAUAAUGGUG
rnacentral:ncRNA from 1 species